rnacentral:rRNA from 1 species
CUACGCGCAUNCCGCGUGNGGGAUGACGGCCUUCGGGUUGNAAACCACUGUCGGGAGGAACGAAUACACNACGUAAGUCGUGGGUGACGGUACCUCCAAAGGAAGCACCGGCUAACUCCGUGCCAGCAGCCGCGGUAAUACGGAGGGUGCGAGCGUUGUCCGGAAUCACUGGGCGUAAAGGGCGCGUAGGUGGCCCGUUAAGUGGCUGGUGAAAUCCCGCGGCUCAACUGCGGGGCUGCCGGUCAGACUGGCGAGCUAGAGCACGGUAGGGGCAGAUGGAAUUCCCGGUGUAGCGGUGGAAUGCGUAGAGAUCGGGAAGAAUACCAGUGGCGAAGGCGUUCUGCUGGGCCGUUGCUGACACUGAGGCGCGACAGCGUGGGGAGCAAACAGGAUUAGAUACCCUGGUAGUCCACGCCGUAAACGAUGGACACUAGACGUCGGGGGGAGCGACCCUCCCGGUGUCGUCGCUAACGCAGUAAGUGUCCCGCCUGGGGAGUACGGCCGCAAGGCUGAAACUCAAAAGAAUUGACGGA